rnacentral:rRNA from 1 species
UACAGGGGGUGCAAACGUUGCUCGGAAUCAUUGGGCGUAAAGCGCACGUAGGCGGUCUGUUAUGUCGGAUGUGAAAGCCCUUGGCUUAACUGAGGAAGUGCAUCCGAAACUGGCAGGCUAGAGUACUAAAGAGGGUCGCGGAAUUCCCGGUGUAGAGGUGAAAUUCGUAGAUAUCGGGAGGAACACCGGUGGCGCAAGCGGCGAACUGGCCGAGACCUGACGCUGAGACGCGACGGCGUGGGGAGCAAACCGG